AUUGAACGCUGGCGGCAGGCCUAACACAUGCAAGUCGAGCGGUAGCACAGAGAGCUUGCUCUCGGGUGACGAGCGGCGGACGGGUGAGUAAUGUCUGGGAAACUGCCUGAUGGAGGGGGAUAACUACUGGAAACGGUAGCUAAUACCGCAUAAUGUCGCAAGACCAAAGUGGGGGACCUUCGGGCCUCAUGCCAUCAGAUGUGCCCAGAUGGGAUUAGCUAGUAGGUGGGGUAAUGGCUCACCUAGGCGACGAUCCCUAGCUGGUCUGAGAGGAUGACCAGCCACACUGGAACUGAGACACGGUCCAGACUCCUACGGGAGGCAGCAGUGGGGAAUAUUGCACAAUGGGCGCAAGCCUGAUGCAGCCAUGCCGCGUGUGUGAAGAAGGCCUUCGGGUUGUAAAGCACUUUCAGCGGGGAGGAAGGCGAUAAGGUUAAUAACCUUGUCGAUUGACGUUACCCGCAGAAGAAGCACCGGCUAACUCCGUGCCAGCAGCCGCGGUAAUACGGAGGGUGCAAGCGUUAAUCGGAAUUACUGGGCGUAAAGCGCACGCAGGCGGUCUGUCAAGUCGGAUGUGAAAUCCCCGGGCUCAACCUGGGAACUGCAUUCGAAACUGGCAGGCUAGAGUCUUGUAGAGGGGGGUGGAAUUCCAGGUGUAGCGGUGAAAUGCGUAGAGAUCUGGAGGAAUACCGGUGGCGAAGGCGGCCCCCUGGACAAAGACUGACGCUCAGGUGCGAAAGCGUGGGGAGCAAACAGGAUUAGAUACCCUGGUAGUCCACGCCGUAAACGAUGUCGAUUUGGAGGUUGUGCCCUUGAGGCGUGGCUUCCGGAGCUAACGCGUUAAAUCGACCGCCUGGGGAGUACGGCCGCAAGGUUAAAACUCAAAUGAAUUGACGGGGGCCCGCACAAGCGGUGGAGCAUGUGGUUUAAUUCGAUGCAACGCGAAGAACCUUACCUGGUCUUGACAUCCACAGAACUUUCCAGAGAUGGAUUGGUGCCUUCGGGAACUGUGAGACAGGUGCUGCAUGGCUGUCGUCAGCUCGUGUUGUGAAAUGUUGGGUUAAGUCCCGCAACGAGCGCAACCCUUAUCCUUUGUUGCCAGCGGUUAGGCCGGGAACUCAAAGGAGACUGCCAGUGAUAAACUGGAGGAAGGUGGGGAUGACGUCAAGUCAUCAUGGCCCUUACGACCAGGGCUACACACGUGCUACAAUGGCAUAUACAAAGAGAAGCGACCUCGCGAGAGCAAGCGGACCUCAUAAAGUAUGUCGUAGUCCGGAUUGGAGUCUGCAACUCGACUCCAUGAAGCCGGAAUCGCUAGUAAUCGUAGAUCAGAAUGCUACGGUGAAUACGUUCCCGGGCCUUGUACACACCGCCCGUCACACCAUGGGAGUGGGUUGCAAAAGAAGUAGGUAGCUUAACCUUCGGGAGGGCGCUUACCACUUUGUGAUUCAUGACUGGGGUGA
rnacentral:rRNA from 1 species